CCCACAUGGUAGCGUGGCACUGCAGGGUAAUCCGCAAGAGAUAUCAGCCAGGUGACAGGGGAUGUUGCUUCGUAACUAGGAGAGACAGAGUAGCCAGAUUCUUAUCUCCAUGUGGUAUCUGGGCUCCACACCCAGCAUGGAGUCCAACAUGGGGCCUGAACUCACAACAGAGCUAAGAUCAAGAGCCAGACACUCAACUGAUUGAGCCAACCAGUUACUGUCAAUUUUGCCAAAAGAUGCUCAACCUUGAAAUAUACUUCCUAAUUGGAGGCAACAAGAAACAAAGAAAAGUCCCUGAAAGAUGAGACCAGCUGGAGAUUCUCCCUGCCUUUCGGGUGUGUUUGAUAUACACAGAAUAAAGAAAAUGAAGGCACUGUGAUUCCCACCUGCAGCCCAGGUCACACACAAACUGACCUUGCCAGAAACAGCUCCUGAAAACAGGGAGCAACGGUGGCAGUCACAACACGACUGCAGAGCAGUGAAGACUGUCAUGCAACAUCCUAAAGGACACAGUGUGAGCAGACUGUGAGGUGCAGAAGGAGUUAGGACCCACCUGGAUGGUCACAUUCAUGGACCCUGGCGCAGGUCUGGGUACACUCGGGGGGUCUCGUACCACAGGGAACUGGAGGGUAGAUCACUGAUGCACCACAGUGGCAGGUUAAUUCAUCAAAACCUGAUAGAGUAGCAGGUGAAAUAAAACAAUCUUUCAUGAGCUCAGGAUGUGCACACACAUAUUGACACAGACACAGACUAUACACAAUUUUUUUCUUUUUGGUUUGUUUUUUUCUUUUAGGGGACUGCUUUUUUCACAAAAGGUUUUUAUUUUAUUAAAGUUGAGCUGGUGGCAAAGGAGCAGAUAGGUAUGUUACUUGAAACUAACUCUAAGUCCAUGAACAAUCCAGGACAUUUUUACAAAUGUAUUCUAUACACAAUAGAUCCUAUAGAUCAUCUCUUUUGAAAGAAUAGGAGAGUUUCACUAAAGAUAUAAUUUUUUUUUUUCAAACUUCUUUGGUUAGGAAAAUGGAUAGAGAUUAUGAAAGCCACAGAUAAUUAACAAACAUAUAAAAAUAUACAUCUGACUGAAUAUAAACCUCAGAGAGCCAGUGAAGCAAUUCAAAAAAAUUCUUACAGGUAAUCAACAUCUAUCAUGCUAGAACUAUGAAGCUGAAACGAAGCAUGGAGCGACAUUUGAGCUCAUUAUGCACAGUUCACAAGCUAAAUCAAAAUGAAGACUCACACUGGACAGCUCCAACAAGCAGCCUACCUCAUCAAGAGUUCUCCUAGGUCCUAAAUCCCAAGGGAAACCAGUUCUCCAACUCUGAGUCUUGGUAGAGGCCAGGCUUUUGGCCAUGGUUCUCAACUAGGUCACCAAGAGUCAGGAAGCCCAGGGCUCUCAAGAUUCUUCCACCUACUGCUCUUCUCCAGUCAGUACUAUUUCUGCCAAACCCUUCAGAGGCUACACAAUAUGGUAUAAAAAGCCCUGUAGGGAUCCCUGGGUGGCGCAGCGGUUUGGCGCCUGCCUUUGGCCCAGGGCGCGAUCCUGGAGACCCGGGAUCGAA